rnacentral:misc_RNA from 1 species
GUUGAAGAACGCAGCGAAAUGCGAUAAGUAAUGUGAAUUGCAGAAUUCAGUGAAUCAUCGAAUCUUUGAACGCACCUUGCGCUCCUUGGUAUUCCGAGGAGCAUGCCUGUUUGAGUGUCAUUAAUAUAUCAACCUCUUCAGCUUAUGCUUGUUGAGUGUUGGAUGGUGGGGGUUUGCUGGUGUCUUAUGAAGUCAGCUCCUCUGAAAUGCAUUAGCGGAACAAUUUGUUGACCGUUCAUUGGUGUGAUAAAAAUAUCUACGCUAUUGACGUCAGUCAGUUCAGCUUCUAACAGUCCAUUGACUUGGACAAAUUUUUCAUUAAUGUGACCUCAAAUCAGGUAGGACUACCCGCUGAACUUAAGCAUAUCAAUAAGCGGAGGA